UACGAAGGGGGCUAGCGUUGCUCGGAAUUACUGGGCGUAAAGCGCACGUAGGCGGAUUGUUAAGUCGGGGGUGAAAUCCUGGAGCUCAACUCCAGAACUGCCUUCGAUACUGGCGAUCUCGAGUUCGGGAGAGGUGAGUGGAACUGCGAGUGUAGAGGUGAAAUUCGUAGAUAUUCGCAAGAACACCAGUGGCGAAGGCGGGUCUCUGGACAGUUCCUGACGCUGAGGCGCGAAGCCAGGGGAGCAAACAGG
rnacentral:rRNA from 1 species